AACGAACGCUGGCGGCAGGCCUAACACAUGCAAGUCGAACGCCCUAGCAAUAGGGAGUGGCAGACGGGUGAGUAACGCGUGGGAACGUGCCCUUCGGUUCGGAAUAACUCAGGGAAACUUGAGCUAAUACCGGCUCCGUGCGAGAGCAGAAAGAUUUAUCGCCGAAGGAUGGGCCCGCGUUCGAUUAGCUAGUUGGUGAGGUAAUGGCUCACCAAGGCGACGAUCGAUAGCUGGUCUGAGAGGAUGAUCAGCCACACUGGGACUGAGACACGGCCCAGACUCCUACGGGAGGCAGCAGUGGGGAAUAUUGGACAAUGGGCGCAAGCCUGAUCCAGCCAUGCCGCGUGAGUGAUGAAGGCCCUAGGGUUGUAAAGCUCUUUCGCCAGGGACGAUAAUGACGGUACCUGGAUAAGAAGCCCCGGCUAACUUCGUGCCAGCAGCCGCGGUAACAC
rnacentral:rRNA from 1 species